UGAUUGUGGAUCUGCGAUGAGAACCUUUC
rnacentral:piRNA from 1 species